GUGUUUCCAACUCCAAAUUAUAGGCUGGCCAAUGCCCGAGGACCUUUGGGGUCUCGAAUGCAGCUAGGGAGAGGGCUGGCACAAACUGAAGGCAUUUGCUCAGCAUCCUGUGGUCCAGUUGCUGGGCAGAUGAAAGAGUCUCUCCAAAUGCAAGGCAUCUUACUUUCUUGCCAAGGCAAGUCCUCUUGUAAAAGGGAGGCUUUAAAAGUCUGUCAAAGGAUACUACCAAGAGGGUGGAUUCAUUAUUUUAAAGCCCUUUCAGGGUCCUCCUACCACUGCAUUCUUCAUGAACUUCUUUGGAUGGUGACUUGGAAGGUGCUGCUUCUUACUGGCGAAGUCUUAGAAUGUUCCUGCCCAGAAAAUGCCCACUUUGGAAUAGAUAUAAUAUGUAAUACUCUGAUAUAACCCACAGGAGAGAGCAUUAGGCUAUGAAGAGAACUGAUUCCAUCCAUCCAUCCACCCGACACACCCACCCAAUCAUUCAUUCAUUCAUUGCUCCAAAUGUUAAUUGCCUCUGUGCACUAGACAAAGCUAAGACAUGGCUCCAAAUCAUGCCUUCUGGGUGGAGAAUGCUCAGCUCCUUCACCUCCUAGAAUGGGCAGGAGAAGCCCCUCAAAAGCAUGGUUGAGAAGCAUCAAUAUGAAGGAGGUAUGUCCUGGGAGUCACAUUGUCCAAGAAGAACCAUGAUCUUCACUGACAUUCAAUUAUAGCUCAGUAUUGUGUAGUUAAGUGGAUUUUAUUAUUCUAUCCGGUGGAAGAAGGCCAUGAAUCAUGGAGUGAAUCAUCCAAAGAAAUGAGAAGUCUAGGGAGUAGAACCAUCAAGGUAAAGAUACACUUUGUCCUUGAAGUCAGCAGUAGCCACAGGACUGAGUUUGGAAUUAAGUGGAAGUGACAUGUGCCAUCCUUGGGUCAUGGCCUUACUACAGAGGGCAUUUGUUCUUCCAUCCUCUCUUCUCCCUUCUUGUGGACUGGAAUAUGGAUAUGGUGAUGACCCAGCUUCCAUCAUGCAUGUGAGACUAACACUAGAGGUGACAGAAACACAGUGUAGAAGAACCUAGGCCCAUAAAUGAUUGUGUGAAGCAGAACCUGCUGCCAAUCUAGGGUGCUCACUUCACCUAGGUACGAGAGAAAUCACUUCUGUCUUAGUUAAGCCAUGGCGUUAUAGCAACUUAGCCUUCACCUUAACAAUAUAUGAGUAUGACAGGGGUGGGAGAUGGAAGCGACAGCCCUCACUUUCUCCCUAAGUUUAGAAGAGAGGGCUGCUGGAUCCAGACAGGCACAGGCCAAAAUAUGGCAUUUGUCGCUGUUAACAUCAAGACUGAAAAGUAGCUUUAAAGCUGCAGCUAAGUGGGUUGGCUGAUACUUCACUUCUGAAUUGGACUUAGCCAUCUCAUUCCUAGCACAGGAUGGCAGAAAGGGGGCUGAGACAAUGAACCUUCUACCAACCAGAUAGUCAGCUGUGUGGUCAAUGAGCAGGUUCUUUCCUUCUCUCCAUUCCAGCAUCCUUGCUCUAAGCCAGACUCAUCACAUCCAGACUUUACACUGUCCAUAAUUGGAAGUGAGAGUGGUUCAUCCAGCAGAUCUGUUUGAGAAUGAAGAAAAAGUUCCCCAGAAGCACCCUCCAUCCCUUACUUUCUAUUAACUUGCUAGUGAGAAGUGGCACAUGUUCCACUCUACUCACCACACACAAGGGGGGUGGAAUUGCCUUUAGACUGGUCAGUCCCACUUCUGGGGGAGGGAUGGGAGCUGUCUUUUCUGCCAACUAUGGCUAUAUGGGGGAAGAGGACUGAACAGAGCCAGGGUGCUGUUAGGAAGGGACACAUCCAUGGACCCAGCAACCUUUAGAACUGCCUUCUCAAAGGUUUUGAAUCAGAUACUAAGGACAAAGUGGUUUCAUAUAAAUUACCCCAUUUCUCCAUGUCUAAUUACUUAUCUAUGGAGGAAUGUUGGCAUUUGUAGGGCAGACUUGAGGGCAUUUGGGUCAUGCAGAUCUGUGUGUCUCCAUGGAGGGGUAUGUGUGUGUGUGUGGGGAAGGCUUCCCAUUAUUUGGAUCAAUGAAUUCUUGAGAUGAAUGUAUGAGUCUUCAAACAUUUUGCUUUUAUUGCAGGAGCCCAGAAAUAUUUAUUUAUUUGUUUGUUUGGUUGGUUGGUUUUGGGUCAAUCUGUAAGAAAGAACAUCUUUCUCAAGUCAGAGUCCACCCUAGUUCAUACCCUGGGCAUCUCUAAACCAGAGGUGGAACAGUCCCAUAACUAGUUCCUCUCUAGUAAUUCCUCUCUUCAGCCCUAUGGUAGCAGUGUCCUUUUAUUCCUUUUAAAACCCAGUUCUGAUAUCAUCCACCCAUUCCAAAACCUCCUUGGGUUUCCCAUUUCUUAAAAGAUGUAGUACGGAUCUCUUGCCUGACACUAAAAGCUCCCUCUGAUCUGGUCCCAGUAGACAUUUCCAGCAUUAUUUCCCAAUUACCCACCUUAAUUUAUCCCACACUCAAGUCAAGCUAAAGUACAUCCAUUUAUCCAUGCAUCUGUUGAUUCAUUCCUUUGACAUUGGGAAAAGCCUCAUCAUCUUGGAUUAUUCCAUAGUGCCCUAAGAGGAUCCCUCUGCUUCCAUUUUUGCCUCUGUUGUCCAUUCUCACCUUAGCAACUAGAGCAAUCCUGUUUAAAACUUAAAUAAGACUAUGUCAGUCCUGUGCUCAAAACCAUCCAAAAGAGAGUUGCCAGAUUUAGCCAAGAAAGAUGCAGGAUGACCAGUUAAAUUCAAAUUUUAGGUAAACAAGUAAUACUUUCAAGAUGUAAGAAUGUCCCAUUAAAUAUUUGGGAUAUACUGAUAGUAAAAAAAAAAAAAAUCAUUGUUCACCUGAGGUUUGAAUUUACUGUGUGUCCUAUAUUUUAUCUUGCAACCCUACACCAGUGAUUUUCCAAAGUCACACUCAAAGUUAACAGCAAAGUACUUAAACCAUCUCUGUAUCCCUGGUGCCUGUAUCUCUGUGAUCUCAUCACUCACCAUUUUCUUGCUGCUUCCUUUUCCAUGACCACUGGCCUCUUGUGCUCCUUGAACACACUCAGCACAUUCCUGCCUUGGAGUCUUUGCACUUGUUUCCUCCACACAGGGAGGAAUACUCUUCCUUCCUGGUCAGCCACAUGUGUCUCUCCCUCACUUCCUGCAGCUCUCUCUGCUCAGAUAUUAUCUUUGCAGCGAGACCUUCCCUGACUAUUCUACCUAAAUUGCCACUCCUUACAUGCUCUUGUCCCUUAAUUUUCUUUCCUGCAUUAUUUUUUCGCUAGAGCCCUUACAAUUAUCUGACAGAUUUUCUGUUUACUUGUUUAUUUGCUCAUUGUCAAUCUUUCUCCUCACUCCUAAAUGAGAUAUAAGUUAUGUAAGAGCAAGUACUUGGCCUGCUUUAUUCAGUGCUGUAAUCUCAGUGCCUAGAAUAGGCCUGCCAGAGUAGGUAAUCAAUAUAAAGCUGAUGCAUUGACAAAUAAAUCAAUAGAUAAAUAACUACAUAAUUUAACUUUAGGGAAUGUAAGUUCUACAGAGAAAGACUAAGCAUGGCAAAAGAGCAGAGAAUCAGUAUUUUACUCUGAGGAGGUGACAUUUUAGCAGAACUGAGUGAGGUUUUUGUUGUUUUUUAAUUCUACAAUACAGUGUUAUCAACUACAAUCAUUGUAUUUUAUAUUAGCUCCUCACUGAAUGAAGUUUCAAUGAAAGCCCCUUCUGCCUCUCCAACUUUCCUUUUUUGUUGUUGUUCUUUGCUCUCUGCGAAAUCAGAGAGCCUCUUUCUAACCUCCUAUGGGAGAAGUCCCACCUCAAAUGCAUAGAUAGCUUGGCCCCUGUCCCUUGGCCUAUGUAGACAUGAAUAACGCUGGACUUCACUCUCCAUUCUGGCUUAUGUAGCUGGCAAAGAGAAAAAAUGAGCUGAUGGGAGUGGUGAUGGGGCUUAUAUUUCACAUCUUGUACUUGGUUGUAGCUGAUGCUUGAAUCCCACUGACAAUUGCUGACAACUGCUUGGCAUUUUAGCAUCCCUCCAGGUGUGGAACUUCUUCCUCCUGACAACAGAGGACUUGGUGUGGAAUUCUCUGAGAUGGCUCCUUGCCUUCACUCUGCACUAGGGGCCACAGACAAGAGCUUUGCCCAGGAAAUGAAAAUAAAAGUCAUAUUCUAUGAGGGUUGGACCCUGGGAGUCUAAGGGUUCCUUUUUUUUUUUUUUAAUUUUUAUUUAUUUAUGAUAGUCACAGAAAGAGAAGGAGAGAGAGGCAGAGACAUAGGCAGAGG